rnacentral:rRNA from 1 species
UGGGGAAUAUUGCACAAUGGGCGAAAGCCUGAUGCAGCGACGCCGCGUGCGGGAUGAAGGCCUUCGGGUUGUAAACCGCUUUUAAUUGGGAGCAAGCGAGAGUGAGUGUACCUUUUGAAUAAGCACCGGCUAACUACGUGCCAGCAGCCGCGGUAAUACGUAGGGUGCAAGCGUUAUCCGGAAUUAUUGGGCGUAAAGAGCUCGUAGGCGGUUUGUCGCGCCUGGUGUGAAAGUCCAUCGCUUAACGGUGGAUCUGCGCCGGGUACGGGCAGGCUAGAGUGCAGUAGGGGAGAUUGGAAUUCCCGGUGUAACGGUGGAAUGUGUAGAUAUCGGGAAGAACACCAAUGGCGAAGGCAGAUCUCUGGGCUGUUACUGACGCUGAGGAGCGAAAGCAUGGGGAGCGAACAGGAUUAGAUACCCUGGUAGUCCAUGCCGUAAAACGGUGGAUGCUGGAUGUGGGACCCUUCCACGGGGUUCCGUGUCGGAGCUAACGCGUUAAGCAUCCCGCCUGGGGGAGUACGGCCGCAAGGCUAAAAC